rnacentral:rRNA from 1 species
UACGGGGGGGGCAAGCGUUGUUCGGAAUUACUGGGCGUAAAGGGGUCGUAGGGGGCCAACUAAGUCAGACGUGAAAUCCCUCAGCUUAACUGGGGAACUGCGUCUGAGACUGGAUGGCUUGAGUGCAGGAGAGGAACGCGGAAUUCCAGGUGUAGCGGUGAAAUGCGUAGAUAUCUGGAGGAACACCGGUGGCGAAGGCGGAUCUCUGGGCCUUACCUGACGCUCAGGCGCGAAAGCUAGGGGAGCGAACUGG